rnacentral:lncRNA from 1 species
GUAUUCAUCCAGGUCAGAUUACCACCAGAGGGCGUCUGACAGCUCAUUCCCUGGGGAUGUCAGCUGAGCCACGGCACCUGCUGACCUGCCCGGGGCGCGGAAAUAGGGGAAAGGGCACUAGAGAGAGAAAGCCAAGGACGUGACCAGGUGACAAAUGGACAAGAAGAGGAAGAAAGACAGAUUCUGCCCAUGUCCACAGGCCCUGGGAUUAGGGCUGCGUGGGGUAGAUGCUCCAGGAGCAGCAAGCCAUGGGGGCUAAGAGAGGGCAGGGAAGAGAAAGUGGAAGGAGCCCUUCUCCUCCCUGCCAUCCGUCCUCCCUGCUGGAACUUUGACUCCAACACAGAAUGGCCUUUGAAAAAGGAAACACCAGGAGUUCCCUGGUGGCACAGCCAGGUUAAGGAUCCAGUGUUGUCACUGUGGGUUCGAUCCUUGGGCUGGGAACUUCCAUAUACCACAGAAGAAACCAAAAAGAUUAAAAAUAAAUAAAUAAAAUUUUUUAAAAAGAAAAGAAAAAGGAAAAACCAAGUUAAUGCCCAAAACAAGAGAGACUGAAAAGUUUUGGAACCAGUUGCAGAUGUCAUCCUAUGACCCAUCAGGAAGGGGGGAGUGACAGAUUACAGCUGGUAUGUUAUGGUUUUUACCUGUUUGAUAGGUACUUGUUUUGUUUUGUUUUGUUUUGUUCUUGGCUGCACCUUUGACAUAUAAAAUUUCCCAUGCCAGGGGUGGAACCCGAGCCACAACAGGGACCUGCGCCACAACAGUGAUAGUGCUGCAUCCUCAACCCACUGAGCCACCGGGGAACUCUUGAUAUUUACCUCUAAAUGUUGAUUUUCCUAAAUCAAACUAGUUCCAGAAGCCAUUAUCAUUAUUAUUGUUCUUGACUCCUCUGGUAUUACCUCAUUCAUAUGCUCACUCAUUCAUUCCCCUUUCACCUCAUAUGUUCAUUCACUCAUAAGCAUUUAUCGUGUGCUAGGCUGUACUCAUAAGUACAGUAAUAGAAGUAUAGUCAAUUGGCUACCAGGUCCUGUCCAUGCAACUUCCAAAUAUCUCCUAAACCUUUCUUGUCACUUCCCCCACUUCAGAUGUCGCUGCCAUGGUUCAAGCCUCCAUAGCUCCCAUUUGAAUUAUAUCCUUGGCUCUGACCACUAACUAUUCUGUCCAUUAUCCACCCUUCCCAAGAGAGAUCUUUCCAAAGGCAGAUAGGGGAGUUCCCUGGUGGCUCAGUGGGUUAAGGAUCCGGUGUUGUCACUGCUACAGCUCUGGUUAUUGCUGUGGUGCAGAUUCAGUCUCCGGCCACAUGCCAUGGGUGAGCUCCCCGACCCCCACACAAAAAAGGGGGCAGAUAGGAUUAUCGCUCUCUGUUGAAGACAACUAGUCGUCCCCCAGGAUCCAUCCUUCCUUUCGUUAUAGCCUCCACAUUUUAGGUGAGUACAUGUCUAUCCAGAAUAAAAACUAGGUUUCCCAGCA